AGAUUAGUUACGUCACCGUCUAGCGCGGCACUGCCGCCAUGAACCCGGGCGAAGGGCAGGAGAGCUGACGUGGAUCGGCCGUGGCUGCAUGCAUGCACAAAGUAGGAUGACCUCUCCGCCCACCUGCUUGCGCGUGGCAUGGUCGAUCUGCGGAUCACCCUGGCUGGGAUCCGUCUGUAGCCGAAUACUGGGAAGGAUGCACAGCACCAUUUCCCAGAGUUAAUGAGGCUCCGCUUUAUUUAUGGCAAUAUUUUCAGGAUUAACCUUUGGAUAAAAGCCCUUGCUUUUCUUCAGUGGCGCCACCAACAGGCAUUCUGUGUCCUAUGAGGCAACCGGAAGGCACUAAAUCCUGCAAAUAGCCUACGAGUAUUCUUAGCAAGAACGCGACAUUUAAUCGAUUGGUUAAUAAAGAAUGAGACUUAAAACAUA